rnacentral:rRNA from 1 species
GCGUCUUGGUUAUUGAUGUUGGAUGCUUGCAUUUAACUGAUUUCCAUUGAGACGAGUGGCGAACUGGUGAGUAACACGUGGGUAACCUGCCCUUGAAGUAGGGGAUAACACUUGGAAACAGGUGCUAAUACCGUAUAACAACCAAAACCACCUGGUUUUGGUUUAAAAGAUGGCUUCGGCUAUCACUUUAGGAUGGACCCGCGGCGUAUUAGCUUGUUGGUAAGGUAACGGCCUACCAAGGCAAUGAUACGUAGCCGACCUGAGAGGGUAAUCGGCCACAUUGGGACUGAGACACGGCCCAAACUCCUACGGGAGGCAGCAGUAGGGAAUCUUCCACAAUGGACGAAAGUCUGAUGGAGCAACGCCGCGUGAGUGAUGAAGGGUUUCGGCUCGUAAAACUCUGUUGUUGGAGAAGAACAGGUGUGAGAGUAACUGUUCACAUCUUGACGGUAUCCAACCAGAAAGCCACGGCUAACUACGUGCCAGCAGCCGCGGUAAUACGUAGGUGGCAAGCGUUGUCCGGAUUUAUUGGGCGUAAAGCGAGCGCAGGCGGUUUCUUAGGUCUGAUGUGAAAGCCUUCGGCUUAACCGGAGAAGUGCAUCGGAAACCAGGAGACUUGAGUGCAGAAGAGGACAGUGGAACUCCAUGUGUAGCGGUGAAAUGCGUAGAUAUAUGGAAGAACACCAGUGGCGAAGGCGGCUGUCUGGUCUGUAACUGACGCUGA